UAGGGAAUCUUCGGCAAUGGGGGCAACCCUGACCGAGCAACGCCGCGUGAGUGGAGAAGGUUUUCGGAUCGUAAAGCUCUGUUGUAAGAGAAGAACGAGUGUGAGAGUGGAAAGUUCACGCUGUGACGGUAUCUUACCAGAAAGGGACGGCUAACUACGUGCCAGCAGCCGCGGUAAUACGUAGGUCCCGAGCGUUAUCCGGAUUUAUUGGGCGUAAAGCGAGCGCAGGCGGUUAGAUAAGUCUGAAGUUAAAGGCUGUGGCUUAACCAUAGUACGCUUUGGAAACUGUUUAACUUGAGUGCAGAAGGGGAGAGUGGAAUUCCAUGUGUAGCGGUGAAAUGCGUAGAUAUAUGGAGGAACACCGGUGGCGAAAGCGGCUCUCUGGUCUGUAACUGACGCUGAGGCUCGAAAGCGUGGGGAGCAAACAGGAUUAGAUACCCUGGUAGUCCACGCCGUAAACGAUGAGUGCUAGGUGUUGGGUCCUUUCCGGGACUCAGUGCCGCAGCUAACGCAUUAAGCACUCCGCCUGGGGAGUACGACCGCAAGGUUG
rnacentral:rRNA from 1 species